AAUAAAGAAGGAAGAUAGAGUUUUCUCGGCGACUUAAGGGAAAGCGAACGAUCGGAGCUGUUUUCUCGGUGUCGAUUUGAAGGGAUUUUGUGGAAGAUCAAACCUGAUCGUCCGUUUCGAGUGAUGUUGGUCGGUCAUACGAGAUUACAAGCCAUGGGAAAGUCAAGUAGUUUAGAAUUUACCAACCAGAUGUUCCCAGCAGAUUCAUAAAUGAGAUUCGGCGAUUUGAUGCUACCAUUUUAGCUGCUGUUAGGAGACUACUCUGAGGUUUGUGCUAUGUUUCAACAUUACAAAAGUUGUCUUCAGCUUGUUUGUAUUGUACCUUAAAUAGCAUGGAACAUUUGUGUGACUAGUCAAGAAUUGGCACUGUGAAAAAAAACAAAACAAUUUGUUGCUUCUACGUUGAAAUGUUGAUUUUAUUAUGCUUCUGGAA